rnacentral:rRNA from 1 species
CUACGGGCCGCUGCAGUGGGGAAUUUUGCGCAAUGGGCGAAAGCCUGACGCAGCAAUACCGCGUGAGUGAAGAAGGCCUUUGGGUCGUAAAGCUCUUUUCUGAAGGAAGAUAGUGACGGUACUUCAGGAAUAAGCACCGGCUAACUCCGUGCCAGCAGCCGCGGUAAUACGGAGGGUGCAAGCGUUGUUCGGAUUUACUGGGCGUAAAGGGCGCGUAGGCGGCAUAGCAAGUUAAGGGUGGAAUCCCGGGGCUUAACUCCGGAACUGCUCUUAAAACUGCUAAGCUAGAGAUAGUCAGAGGCGGGUGGAAUUCCUAGUGUAGAGGUGAAAUUCGUAGAUAUUAGGAGGAACACCGGUGGCGAAGGCGGCCCGCUGGGGCUUAUCUGACGCUAAGGCGCGAAAGCGUGGGGAGCAAACGGGAUUAGAUACCCGUGUAGUC